GCCAUAUGCCACAGGACCCUCUCUCAUGAUGCUGGGCAGUUAGAGGGCCCGCUCUCAAUCAGCCACAUGAUCAUGAGGAUAAACAACCAAUACACUAACAACCAUUCUGUACCCAGAUAAAUUUUGAAUAAGGAAGAGAGCACAGGAAAAUGCAGGGAGAACUGGUUCAGCAGCUCCACGAAGGUAUUUGGAUUUCCAAAGACCAGACCCCAUGAAGUGGCUUUCCAGGUGGGAACUUGACAGAGCAGAGGCAGAUUAGUGGCAUUUCUGGGUCUGAGAGGAAAAGGAACGAAGUGCACCUGCAGCACAAAGACGGACCUCGGUCCCUCUUCAGACAGCUUCCGGCCACUUGAGUCACUGAA